UAGGGAAUAUUGGUAAUCUGCGAAAGCGGGAACCAGCAACGCCGCGUGUGCGAUGACGGCCUUCGGGUUGUAAAGCACUUUUUGAGGGGAUGAGGAAGGACAGUACCCUCAGAAUAAGCCUCGGCUAACUACGUGCCAGCAGCCGCGGUAACACGUAGGAGGCAAGCGUUAUUCGGAUUUACUGGGCGUAAAGCGCGUGCAGGCGGUUCGGUAAGUUGGAUGUGAAAGCUCCUGGCUUAACUGGGAGAGGUCGUUCAAAACUAUCAGACUUGAGAGUGGUAGAGGGAGGUGGAAUUCCGCAUGUAGUGGUGAAAUGCGUAGAUAUGCGGAGGAACACCAGUUGCGAAAGCGGCCUCCUGGCCCAUUUCUGACGCUCAGACACGAAAGCUAAGGUAGCAAACG
rnacentral:rRNA from 1 species